CACACACAAUACCCCCCCCCACUGUGUGGCGUGAAGGAGUAGCCGCUGCAUUGUUCUCCUCAUCCUCCUAUUACACCCGUGUGGCUUUCAUUGCGGACUCUCUGAGGCCGGCAUGAUCGCCCUCUCGCAUUGUUGUCUGCGAUAUGUGCCACGGCGACCGCCGGCGUUCGGCAAAGUCGUUGGAGGUGGUACUCGGCUACGGCGCACAAGCGCGCCGGCACCACGGCAACGCAAUCAAGAGACAGCUGCAGAUGCGGAGACGGUGGCGGAGGCCGAGGUUGUCGCCGCCUUCACCUCGACAUUGGAGGACGCCAAGCUUGCAGCCGCAGACAUCCCCCACAGAGCUCAGACGUCGCCGCCGCACCUGCAGCCUCACCGGGCGGCUGCCUAUAAAUCACUGCCGCCCCAUCUGCGGUUCCGUGCGCUUUCCAAGCCGGUGGUCCUCGAGGACGUGCAGGACACCUAUGCCAUCACGCCAACGCAGGAAGUGCACGGCCAGCAGCUGUGGACAGCCACAAAGGUGCUGCGCUCCAGCAAGCAUAUUCGCAAGGCGAAUGCCACAUGCGUCGUGGGAGGUGCCAGUGCGAUCCGACGCAUCUGGCGCACGUACAAUAUCCGACCGAAUGUCGUGUAUGUGCCGAACACUGAUUCCGGAGUACCGACGUGGUGCCUCGAGGAGGAGCUGCCGACGGUGAUUGUGCGUUGCUCGCCUGUGGCGGUAAGGCGGCACCUGUUGAGCGCCGAGUACAGCGACGGCUACGCUGCCGAGUUCCCGCUGCCAGUGAACUGCGUCACAGAUGCCACAGCACUGCUGGCUCCACCACCGGAGCCGGCUCAAAGUGAGACCGCGGUGCCAAGCACGGGCGACACGUCAUCAUCGCUGUCAGCGAAGCUCUCGGCGACAGGACCGCCGGUAGCUCGCCCUCUGCACGACCCCUUCGGCCACCACGCUGUGGGAGCCAUGCUUGUGUUGGUGGGGCUGCGCAUCCCCAGCAACGUGGGGACUUUGCUGCGUGCCGCUGCAGAUAUGGGCUACGACGCUGCCGUACUCGUCAGCUGCGCCGACCCGACGCAGGAGAAGGUGUUGCGCGCGAGCGAUGGCACCGCGCUGAGCCCGACCCUGCGCAUCUACGAGACGGAGACGACGGAGCAGGCGUGCGUGUCGCUACUCUCCAGCAUCGCGGCGCAGCAUCACCUCAUGCCGUUUCUGGCGGUGCCGUCGCAGGAGGUCGAGUCUGCUUUUGAGGUAGCGAAGCGUUUCCAUGUCUAUAACGCCAAAAGCAAGGAAGCGGCCACGUCGCAGGUCAGUGGAGGUGCGGCGGCAGGUCACAGUGACGGCCUCUGCGCCGCUCCGACGAAGCAGCUCGGCGCAAUGGUCAUCCUCGGAUCGGAGGCGCAGGGGCUGCGCGGCCUGAACGGCAGGUGGGGUGUGCCCUACCAGUUGGUGACGCUGCCACUGUCUAACCCGAUGGUAGACUCGUUAAACGUGAGUGUGGCAGGGUCGGUGCUGAUGCAUCUGUUCCGCCCCAGCGCAGCGUCGCAUUUCACGCGGCUCGUGGCGCUCUCAGGAGAAGCAGUCGGCGACUUGUUACCGCCACCUGUAACAGAUGACGAUGACAAUGAGAGUGAUCACCACGCGGAAACCGACGAGGCGGAGGCAAGUCCCCUCUAGACGGCUGUGCAAGCGGGAGUUGCAGAGCAAAAAUGUUCACACAAGGAGAAACACACCAAACCCCGUCCCAGCAUGAUGGCAUCGAGUACGCGCCUCUCAUCUUUCAGCCUCCACCUCCGUCAUCACACGUCUGCCGGCUGUGCACGUACCUGGCGUUUAUGUAUGCGUGCCCCUCUCCAAGUCGUGUGCUGGCCUCAAGAGAAGGAAGCGGUGGUGGUGACGGUUGGCCUGCGCCGCCACACACACACACACACACACACUCGCGCCCUUUCACAGAUGCAGUGGCACUCGUUAGUAUUGAUCACACGCUACUCAAUCAUGCAUGCGUGCUGU
rnacentral:misc_RNA from 1 species